UGGGGAAUAUUGCACAAUGGGGGAAACCCUGAUGCAGCGACGCCGCGUGAACGAAGAAGGUAUUCGUAUCGUAAAGUUCUGUCCUAUGGGAAGAUAAUGACAGUACCAUAGAAGAAAGCUCCGGCUAAAUACGUGCCAGCAGCCGCGGUAAUACGUAUGGAGCGAGCGUUGUCCGGAAUUAUUGGGCGUAAAGGGUACGCAGGCGGUUUAAUAAGUCGAAUGUUAAAGAUCGGGGCUCAACCCCGUAAAGCAUUGGAAACUGAUAAACUUGAGUAGUGGAGAGGAAAGUGGAAUUCCUAGUGUAGUGGUGAAAUACGUAGAUAUUAGGAGGAAUACCAGUAGCGAAGGCGACUUUCUGGACACAAACUGACGCUGAGGGACGAAAGCGUGGGGAGCAAACAGG
rnacentral:rRNA from 1 species